UACACUCCUGCGGGAGGCAGCAGUGGGGAAUUUUGGACAAUGGGCGAAAGCCUGAUCCAGCAAUGCCGCGUGAGUGAAGAAGGCCUUCGGGUUGUAAAGCUCUUUUGUCAGGGAAGAAACGGUGAGAGCUAAUAUCUCUUGCUAAUGACGGUACCUGAAGAAUAAGCACCGGCUAACUACGUGCCAGCAGCCGCGGUAAUACGUAGGGUGCAAGCGUUAAUCGGAAUUACUGGGCGUAAAGCGUGCGCAGGCGGUUUUGUAAGUCUGAUGUGAAAUCCCCGGGCUCAACCUGGGAAUUGCAUUGGAGACUGCAAGGCUAGAAUCUGGCAGAGGGGGGUAGAAUUCCACGUGUAGCAGUGAAAUGCGUAGAUAUGUGGAGGAACACCGAUGGCGAAGGCAGCCCCCUGGGUCAAGAUUGACGCUCAUGCACGAAAGCGUGGGGAGCAAACAGGAUUAGAAACCCGGGUAGUCCCAUGA
rnacentral:rRNA from 1 species